rnacentral:rRNA from 1 species
AUGAACGCUAGCGGCAGGCUUAAUACAUGCAAGUUGAGGGGCAGCAUGAUAUACGCGAGUAUAUUGAUGGCGACCGGCGGACGGGUGAGUAAUAGGUAGGAGACCUACCUCAUACAGGGGGAUAGCAUAGAGAAAUCUGUGGUAAUACCCCAUGAGGUUAUAUGAAUAGAGGCAUAUAAUCAAAGCAUAACGCGAUUAUGCGGUAUGAGAGGGGCCUACUGACCAUUAGCUAGUUGGUGAGGUAAGGGCUCACCAAGGCGAAGAUGGUUAGGGGUUUUGAGAGAGAGACCCCCCACAUUGGAACUGAGAGACGGUCCAGACUCCUACGGGAGGCAGCAGUAGGGAAUAUUGGGCAAUGGGCGAAAGCCUGACCCAGCCAUGCCGCGUGAAGGAAGACGGCCUUAUGGGUUGUAAACUUCUUUACUACGCGAAUAGAGGUUAGUACGAGAUACUAAUAGGAAGGUAGUGUAGUAAAAAGCACCGGCUAACUCCGUG